rnacentral:rRNA from 1 species
GAUGAACGCUGGCGGCGUGCUUAACACAUGCAAGUCGAACGGACAGGCUCCUGCUUGCCGGGGUUCUCGAGUGGCGAACGGGUGAGUAACACGUGGGUGAUCUGCCCUGCACUUCGGGAUAAGCCUGGGAAACUGCGUCUAAUACCGGAUAGGACCUCUUUUUGGACGGUGUGGUGGAAAGUUAUUCGGUGUAGGAUGUGCUCGUGGCGUAUCAGCCUGUUGGUGGGGUAAUGGCGUACCCAAGCGUCGACGGGUAGCCGGCCUGAGAGAGUGUACGGCCACACUGGAACUGUGAGACGGGCCAGAGUAGGACAGGAGGCAGCAGUGGGGAAAAUCGGACAGAGGGCGCAAGCGUGAUGCAGCGAGGUCGCGUGGGGGAUGACGGCCUUCGGGUGGGAAGCACCUUUCGGUAGGGAAGAAGCGUUUUUGUGACGGUACCUGGAGAAGAAGCACCGGCUAACUACGUG